AGAGAUUUAGACCUAAAGUUACAGCUAUUGAAAAAAGCAAGGAUCUGGAUACAAUUAAGAUAAAAGAACUCGUAGGAUCCCUUCAAACCUAUGAACUCACCAUUUCACAAUCGAGGAAUAACAAGUCCAUAGCCCUAAACACUAUUAGAGAAGGGGAGUCUGAGUCAUCUGACGUGGAAACUCUUAGAGAUGAGGAGAUUGCCCACUUUGUGAAAAAAUUUCAAAAAGUCUUAAAAGGCAAAAAAUGGCCUCAAGAGAAAAGGAGAGGAGGCCCUAGUAAAUUGCAAAGAGAGAAGGAUGAUAAAUCAACUGCUAGGAACCCUGGUAAGAAAUCUCAUGUGGUUAGGUGUCAUGAGUGUCAAGGAUUUGGGCACUAUAGAAAUGAAUGUCCUAGUUUUAAGAAAAAUCUAAAGAAGGAGAGUAGCAAGGCAUUAGAUGUGUCCUUAACUGAUGAUGAUUCUAAUUUAAGUUAACAAAGUGAUUCCUCAAGCAGUGAGGAGGAAAAGGGCUAUAUGGCUUUUGUAUCUACUGUCAAGAGCGAGUCAGACAAGGAGAGUAAGAAGGUUGAGGAGGAAGUGGAGAGUAACAGGUCCGGUGAUGAUUCGGAGGAUGAGACGGAUAUACAUGAGGCUUAUCAACUUCUGUUUAAGGAAAGUCUCAAGAUCAAAAAGGUAUAUAAAGCCCUAUUUAAGAAGGUAGACGAGCUUGAGAGAGAAAAGGAGAAAAUCACCUAUGAUCUUCAAGUCUCAUCUAAGAAUCUCAAUGAGUUGAAGUGUGUCAAUGAGAAAUUAGAAGAGAGGGUCAAGACAUUGACUUGUGAAUUAGAGAAAUUCAGCACUCAACUAUAGUCAUUUGUGAGUGGAACUAAGAAACUAGACGAUCUGUUAGGAAUGAACAAACCAGCUGGAAAUAGGCAAUGUCUAGGAUUUGUGAAGAGUGAUAGCAAUGUGUCUAAUUUAUCCAAGACUACAUUUGUCCCCGCUUCCAACAGAUCUAAUGUUUCAACAAAUCCAAAAUCCAAAGACAAAAAUUUCACUAGACUAAAUGCCACUAGAGCUCAUAAGAUUUCUACACCUAAUUUUCAUGAUCAACACUCACGUGCAUCUGAACCUAGGUUCAUACCCACUUGUCAUCACUGUGGCACCUUUGGCCACACGAGACCUAGGUGUCGAGACCUAGGUGUCGAAAGCUAGCAAAUAAGAAUCGAAGUCAGGAUAUCCCUACUCAAGUGAACUUCCUUUCAAAUCAGGUUAGCCACUUAACUGAGAUGAUAACGAGGUUGACUAGGAUCACCUCGACCUCGAGAAAACUUUAGGUAAAGAAAUCUGAUGUGGGUGAGUAUACUAAGAAUCUAAAAUGUUUUGUUGCUCAUGUUGCAUAUAAGGCUCAAAAUACAUGCAUGUGGUAUCUUGAUAGUGCUUGUUCUACACACAUGUGUGGCAAAUAGGGUAUACUUGAGACCGAAAUCAGACAAGACUCCCUAUGAGAUCUGGAAAGCAAGAAGCCUACUGUUAAAUACUUUAGGAUGUUUGGUAGCAAGUGUUACAUUCUGAGGGAUAGAGAAAAUCUAGGCAAGUUUGAUUCCAAAAGUGAUGAUGGGAUUUUUCUAGGAUAUUCUAAGAACAGUAGAGCCUGCCGAGUUUACAACUUGCGUACUCAGAGUGUCUUGGAAUCUAUAAAUGUUGUUAUUGAUGAUGCCUUUACUGAGGGUGAGAGUGCUGAAAAUGGGGUUGACAUAGAAAAGCUAAGUGAUGAUCAACGAACCACUGCUGAAAAUAAAGAGCAGUCAAUUCCAAAAUCUCCACGCUCUUCAGAAAACAUAUCUGAACAGGGUCUACCAAAUUGGGAUCAGUCUAAGCUUCCUAGAGAACCAUCUUCUAGGGUCAAAUCUAAUCAUCCUAAGGUUAACAUCAUUGGCGAUUUAGAUGAAGGUAUGAGGUUACAAAAGAGAGUUCUAAAUAACCUAAAAUAUACUAUCUAUGUAUCCCAGAUUGAACCUAAGAAAGUAGAGGAAGCCCUUCGAGAUGAAUGCUGGGUGAAUGCCAUGCAUGAGGAGCUUAAUUAAUUCAUUUGAAAUAGUGUUUAGAAUCUAUUUCCUAGGCCUGAUGAUUGUAAUGUGAUAGGUACUAAGUGGAUCUUCAAGAACAAAAUCGAUGACCAAGGUACUAUAACUAGAAAUAAGGCUAGAGUAGUUGUCCAGGGGUGUACUCAGGUGGAAGGGGUAGAUUUUGAUGAGACUUUUGCCCUAGUUUCUCGUCUUGAGUCCAUUCGUAUUCUUCUUGCGAUUGCAUGUAUCUUAGGGUUCAAGCUAUAUCAAAUGGAUGUCAAGAGUUCAUUCUUGAAUGGAAUACUUCAAGAAGAGGCAUAUGUUGAACAGUCGAAAGGAUUCAUUGAACCUAAGUUUCCUCAUUAUGCCUACAAACUCAAUAAAGUACUGUAUGGUCUGAAACAAGCUCCUAGAGUUUGGUAUGACAGACUCACCACUUAUCUCAUUGAGCAUGGGUUCUCACGAGGUGGUACUGAUAGAACUUUAUUCAUUAGACAUAUUGAAGAAACUAUCACUAUAGCUCAGAUCUAUGUCGAUGACAUGGCUCUCCCAUGACUCCCUUGCUCUUGAAUUUGCUGAAUGCAUGAAACAAGAAUUUGAAAUGAGCAUGGUUGGAGAGUUAAGUUACUUCCUUGGUCUUCAAGUAAAGCAAACUAAUUGUGGGCUGUUUAUCUCUCAAUCAAAACGUGCCAAAGACCUUGUGAAGAACAGUUUACACCAUAUUUUAACGAAGUAUAGGUCCUAGUGGCAUUGGAUUUGACCUUCAAACGUCUAAGUGGUGACUCCUACGUCGGUGAUUUGGCUGUCUCUUCUCACAAAUUUAAGGUUUUAAGUCUUACUUGCUUGGAAUGAGUAGCACGUUUCGCGAGGGGUCACAUACACUAUUUACUCCAUCUAUACUUGGUCCCGGUGUGUGGGGAAGCAUUUUCUAAUCACUGUGCAUGCCGUAUUUGUGAUCUAUUGCCUUUGAUUGGACCAACUGCCUCUGCAUUGUUCGUGUAUUUAAAAAAAAAAUUGGGGUCAAAAUUCAAAUUUCUGAAAAAUGUACUAUUUUUUAAAAUUUCUAAAGUGUUGUUACUUUGCAAAGUUUAAAACCUGGGCAUAACUUUUCAACUUUUCAAUUUUAAGUGCUAUUUUUGACAUUUCCCCUUCGCUCGCUUGACACUAGAAGCUUGCUUGAGCGACAAAAUUAGUGUCUUGUUGCUCGAGCCAACAACGAGACUUUUAAUUUUCUCGCGAAGGGUUCUGGAUUAUUUUUUUCAUUUUUUCACAUCUCUCUCUCACAUUUUCUCUCGCGACGACCCUUUUUGGUCGAUUUGCACUUCAUUUCUUGCGUGUGGAGCUUCAAUUCCUCAUCCUUGUGUGCAUUCAUUGGUGUUUUGUUGUUCCUAAUUGGUAAGUGCUUCAUUAACCCGUUCAUUUGUUUGUUUUUUUUUCUUUCUUCGCCAUUUGGAAAUUUUGAGAUUGGGUGUUUCUUGAAUGCUGGAUCGAUGGUGUUGUUAAGGUAUGUUGGGUGUCUCUUGCGUUAUUGCAUUUGUAGGUUAUCAUCCUUGUGUUUCAAAUGCGCUCAAGGUGUUCGAUGAAAUGUCUCAUCUCCACAACCCUACUUCCCUUGCCCAUUGUGUGGCAUUCCUCGCGUGUGAUUGGUAUCUGGACUCUUGCUGUGUCGUUUUGGUCCCUACUUUGGGUUGGCAUCUAUUGGUUUUGAUGUUGAACUCAUCCUUGCAGUGGGUGCCUUCCGUCCUGCAGCCGUUCUUGUUCCGUCUAGUUCACGUCACUUACGUCUUGGUCAUUGUCCUCCGACUAUAGUGACAUGUAUUACCUCGGGCUUGCAUGCUUACCACUUGUGCACCACUCUUGCAUCGAUUUGCAUGCUUGUGUGUGAUUGAACUUUAGGACUUGUGCAGUCAUGUGUCUCCAUAAAUUAGUUUUCCUUGAGAAUUGAUUUAUCUUCUACAUCUCGCAUUGUAGAUGGCACCUGAGAGGGCUAGCACUACAGAUCAGCCUGGUAGUGGAUCGGCUUCAUUUAGUCGUUCUAGGUUUAUUUCCUCUACUGCUCAAGAGGAAUUUGGGAGCCAAUUUUCCCGUCGUCCUGUCCUAGUAAAGUGUGAGGUCACUCUAUCCGACCUAUUCCCUGAUGUAGCAGCUAUCUUUACUUCUCGAGGUUGGGAAUCCUUGCUGAUUGGGUUAAGUCCCCCGCCUAGGUUAAUGCUUGCUUGAUCCACCACUUGGUGACAUUACUUGGGGCUUCAUUUCUCGAUGGGGUCUCACGACGAGUGCUUCGUCCCAUAGGGCACACUACCAUCUCUCAAAGUAGGUCACAUGUCACCUCUUCUGCUCUUGCUGAGCCUGUCGACCCGACAGUGCCAUCUGAUCCUUUAGGUAUUUUACUUGCUGAUAUUUCAACUAUUCCUUCCCCUCCUUUCGAUGUUCCUCUGUCCACUUUCGAUAUUCCUUCUUCUUCCACUUCCAUUCCACCACUCGCCCCGCCUGCUCUGGCUACUACUCUUGUUGACCCCACUGUCAUACUUAUAGGUCAAAUGUCGAUUCUCAUUGAGCAGCAAGCCCGCAUGAUGGCCGACAUUAGUCAGUUACGAGCUACUUCCGAGCAUCAUACUGCGGAGUUUGCUACAUUGCGGGGGGCUAUUCCUCUUGUUCAACGCGGUAUUUGGUGGAUGCGCAAGCACUGGAAUUAUGAGUCUGAGGCUGAGGAUUCUGAGGACAUGGAUGGCGGAGAUGAUGGUCAUGCUUAGUUGCUUGGGGUUCCCCUUUCCAUUUGUGACAAAAAGGGGGAGUGGGUGCUAAUUUUUGGGAUUUGUAAUGAUAAAGUACUUUGAUAAUGUACUAUUGAUAUUUUUGGCUAGAUUAUGUGUUGAUGUUUUGCACUAUUGAUGUAUGUUUUUAGUGGUUUGACUUACAUUGAUAUUAUCUCUUAAUCUAGCAUAUUGGUAUAAUGUUAUGACUAUUCAUGACUCUUUAUCUUUUAUGUUUACUUAUAUUACUAUUUCUCGUGCUUUUACACUGGGUAUGUGAGUUGUGAUUUCAGGAAACAGGUUGAAAGAUGACAAGGCAACAGUGAGUUGAGUCAGUGUAUUGGACUGUCAUUGCAGUUCAUGCUACUGUAAUUUGGUUUUGUCACAGAAUGUCAAAGGGAGAGUUUGUUAGAUUUCGUGUUGGCUAUUCUGUGAACAAAAGGGUAAAAUUGUAAAUGUUCGAAAGUUUGGGGUCAAUUUGUCAAUAGUUAAAGGUUAGGGGUCAUUGUGUACAUGUGUAAUAGAUGAGGAACUCAGUUGUAAUUUUGAUAAAGUAUGCUAGGGUUAGAGCUAUGAAUUAGGGCAAGAUGUUUCGUUGAAAUUUCACUAGCUGCUCGCCAAGUGGUCACUCGAGCAACAAAAACAGAAAGGUCGUCUCUCGCUUCUCGCCCCCACUUCGCUCGAGCGAAACAGCGUCGCUCGCUUUUCACUCGAGCGACAGUGUUACCCAUAAAAUCCUAUUUUCCUUUUUUCGACAUUUUAACCCGACCAAAAGAUUCAUAUAAGUAAAAUUGCGUCAAUUUUCAGUUGUGCUCUCAAGGGAUUGAAAUUGAAGAAAACUCUCCACACUUUGAUCCUCUUAUUCAACCCCAUAUUUGAUUUGACCAAUUACAUAAAAAAAAUAUCAAAUUAACAUUCACCAAACACCACAACACAACAUUCUAGAGCCUUUGUUGAUUCUUGGAGAUCUUGGAGAUCGAGGAAGGAGAUCGGAGUCCUGAUUAUUAGAGAACAGGCGGUUCUCUUAAAUCCACAGGAGAUAGACAAAAUCAAGAGCCAGGAAUUGGUGUAGCACGCAAUCCAGGAGGGCUAGGUGCCAGGAGUUUGUGCAGGAUCACGCAUUCCAGGAAGGCUUUGAGGAAAUUAUGGUCAGGAUGUCAGAAUAACCGAUGUAGGUUGAGCCUGACUGAUUGUAAGUUUCAUUUUCAUUUAUAGUGGAUUCCUA
rnacentral:lncRNA from 1 species